rnacentral:misc_RNA from 1 species
UUAAGUUCAGCGGGUAAUCCUACCUGAUUUGAGAUCGAACGUUCAAAAGUUGUCCUCGCCGAGGAGAGACGUUUAUGAGCUCCAAUGAACCCUCAUCGCUGAGGGUUACCUGGCAGACGACCGCGAGCGUAGAUAGUUAUCACACCCAUGAUGCCACCAAACACUGGCAAGCUGAUUCAUUUGAGAGGAGCCGGCCGCAG